CGUGGACUUUUAUUUAAAUAAAGUAGAUGAUCCACUAUCAACUGAUCGUUCCAGAUUUAUUUUCCUGUUAGCUUGUAUUCUAAUAAUUUGAAAAACUGUGCUUAACUUAAGGAAUGUUUUGUCACAUAAUUUUUGACAAUUCUACAACGUAGAAUUAAAUGUGUAAGUUCUUUACGUAAAUAAGUUAUAAUUUAAAUGUGGCAUUUGAUCAUUUUAAGCCUUUAUUUAAUGUUCCAAUUGUCCUGUUUUUUUCGUAAGUUCGAUGCCACAACGAAAAUAAUGGAUGUUUGAAAUAUUAAAAAAGCCAUAACUAUUUGCAAAAACACUUUAUACUAUUUAAGUUUGCUGUCUUUGGCGUGGCAUUUCGUUUGCGCAAGAUGAGACGGAUGAUGGGGCCAAGAAAGUGCAAUAAAUUAGUCAAAACACACCCGGAAAAAUAAAUAACUGGUAAAUUCUUCAGUUUCAGCCUCACCGAGUCCUCCGGGUUCAAAUUCAUUCGGGGAAAAAAUAAAUGUAACUUGCUCUGCGGUUCUGGAUUCCCGGAUAUUUUGCUACUUGAUUUUUUAAAGGCAGCGUUUAUUUUGCUAGCCUCGUUGUUUAAGCCUCGCUAAACUCACGCAAUAAUAAAUUCCCAAGUCGAAGGAGAAACAAUUCUAGGAGAUUUUUCUGGGGGAAGACUCUUAAACGGGGAACUCACGUCAAGAUUUGGAAAAAUUUGGGGAAAAAUACUGGAAUUGAGGGACAAUUAAUUAGUUAUUGAUUUUGUCUGCAUCAAGAAAAAAUGGUGUUUAAUAAUGAGGAAUAUGAAUAAAUAAUUUCAAAGUUUUUGAACUUUUAGCAGGAUUUUAACGCCGUUAAAAGUACUUUAGUUAUUAACGAAUACAAUUUAGAAACAAGAUUUCCAAGGUCCAAAAAUUGGUCAAAAUCUGAUACUGUCGUUGGGUGCUAUGUAAA